CCUACGGGUGACAGCAGUGGGGAAUAUUGCGCAAUGGAGGAAACCCUGAUGCAGCGACGCCGCGUGAGUGAAGAAGGAUUUCGGUAUGUAAAGCUCUGUCAGCAGGGAAGAAAAUGACGGUAGCUGACCAAGAAGCCCCUGCUAACUACGUGCCAGCAGCCGCGGUAAUACGUAGGGGGCAAGCGUGAUCCGGAUUUACUGGGUGUAAAGGGAGCGUAGACGGCAGGGCAAGACUGGAGUGAAAGGCGGGGGCUCAACCCCCGGACUGCUCUGGAACCUGCGAGGCUGGAGGCCAGUAGAGGUAAGUGGAAUUCCAAGUGUAGGGGUGAAAUGCGUAGAUAUUAGGAGGAACAUCAGUGGCGAAGGCGGCUAACUGGACUGUAACUGACGUUGAGGCUCGAAAGCGUGGGGAGCAAACAGGAUUAGAUACCCUUGUAGUC
rnacentral:rRNA from 1 species